AUCGCUUCUUCGGCUUAUUAGCUAAGAUCAAAGUGUAGUAUCUGUUCUUAUCGUAUUAACCUACGGUAUACACUCAAAUGCACUGCUGCCAGGCUCGGCCCAGUCCCCUAGGGGGACAAAAAUUAUAGCAGUUUUUUCUAAUUGAAAGUUUAUUCCGUAAUAUUCUCAGUACGGAGCGCUGCAAACGCGCUCCCUUCGCA
rnacentral:snRNA from 1 species